GGGUGCGAUCAUACCAGCGCUAAUGCACCGGAUCCCAUCAGAACUCCGCAGUUAAGCGUGCUUGGGCGAGAGUAGUACUAGGAUGGGUGACCUCCUGGGAAGUCCUCGUGUUGCACCCC
rnacentral:rRNA from 4 species